rnacentral:rRNA from 1 species
UACGAAGGGGGCUAGCGUUGCUCGGAAUGACUGGGCGUAAAGGGCGCGUAGGCGGCUUGCAUAGUCAGAUGUGAAAUUCCUGGGCUUAACCUGGGGGCUGCAUUUGAUACGUGUGGGCUUGAGUGCGGAAGAGGGUCGUGGAAUUCCCAGUGUAGAGGUGAAAUUCGUAGAUAUUGGGAAGAACACCGGUGGCGAAGGCGGCGACCUGGACCAAUUCUGACGCUGAGGAGCGAAAGCCAGGGGAGCAAACGGG